rnacentral:rRNA from 1 species
CCCUUAGAUGUUCUGGGCCGCACGCGCGCUACACUGAUGCAUUCAACGAGUCUAAAACCUGGUCUGAUAGGGCUGGGUAAUCUUUUGAAUGUGCAUCGUGAUUGGGAUAGAUGAUUGCAAUUCUUCAUCUUCAACGAGGAAUGCCUAGUAAACGCAAGUCAUCAGCCUGCAUUGAUUACGUCCCUGCCCUUUGUACACACCGCCCGUCGCUCCUACCGAUUGAAUGUUCCGAUGAAUACCAUGGACUGAGAGUAUGAAUGGGUUCGCCUAUUUCUGCUUCUCGGGAAGUGGAGUAAAUCUUAACAUUUAGAGGAAGGAGAAGUCGUAACA